rnacentral:rRNA from 1 species
AGAACGAACGCUGGCGGCAGGCUUAACACAUGCAAGUCGAGCGCCCCGCAAGGGGAGCGGCAGACGGGUGAGUAACGCGUGGGAAUCUACCUAGCUCUUCGGAAUAGCUCCGGGAAACUGGAAUUAAUACCGAGUACGCCCUACGGGGGAAAGAUUUAUCGGAGUUAGAUGAGCCCGCGUUGGAUUAGCUAGUUGGUGGGGUAAUGGCCUACCAAGGCGACGAUCCAUAGCUGGUCUGAGAGGAUGAUCAGCCACACUGGGACUGAGACACGGCCCAGACUCCUACGGGAGGCAGCAGUGGGGAAUAUUGGACAAUGGGCGCAAGCCUGAUCCAGCCAUGCCGCGUGAGUGAUGAAGGCCCUAGGGUUGUAAAGCUCUUUCAGUGGGGAAGAUAAUGACGGUACCCACAGAAGAAGCCCGGACUAACUCGUGCCAGCAGCCGC